rnacentral:rRNA from 1 species
AGCGUAGGCGGAUUUUAAGUGGGAUGUGAAAUACCCGGGCUUAACCUGGGUGCUGCAUUCCAAACUGGAAGUCUAGAGUACAGGAGGGGAAAGCGGAAUUCCUAGUGUAGCGGUGAAAUGCGUAGAGAUUAGGAAGAACACCAGUGGCGAAGGCGGCUUUCUGGACUGUAACUGACGCUGAGGCUCGAAAGCGUGGGGAGCGAACA